GACGACGUACAGCGCGUCGGACAGGAUGGCGCUGGCGUUCUCCCGGCCGACCAACGCCGCAAGCUUGGACUGGUACUCCCUGUAGUACUUGAGCUGCUGCGUCAACGUGAUUGCAUCCUGCGUAGCUUGCUGGAACAUGUUACAUACGUAUAGAGCACUUACAUACAUGGCCGCCGUGUCGUCGUGGUAGCUGGACGCCGCCGAGGCGAAGUUGGCGCCAAGAAGAAGGUUCUUCCCCGACGCUUGCGGACUAAGGAUAAUUGUGGUCAACCGGUGAUGUCGGUGACGAUCUUGCCGUCGGAGAACCUCCCGGUCGGCCUGCGACGGUGGAAGUUCACCCCGUACGGCACGUAGUUGGCCUUGAAGACGGCGCCGGGCAGGUAGUUGUUGUUGCCGACGUCGAUGGUCGAGUCACCGAAGGAGAACACCGCCGGCACGAUCUGCGCCUGGACGCCGCCGUCCAUCGCCGGCGAGAGGAUCAGCAGAGACAUCGCCAGCAGCAGCGGAACGUACACGUACUGCAGUCAACACUCAGCAGGUGUGAGUUGCUGCUACCUGUCUGCUAGCUAUUGCAGUAUCUCUCAGGUAAUUUCACAGGUCAACAAAAAGUAUUUACUUCCAGGCUUCCUUUUGUUUAGUUAGCUUUGCUAGCUGAAUUGUUGUUGGACGGCGGAUAGCAUCCUUAAAUCAUCACCAAACCUAUCUGGUCUGGAUUCCAGUCCGAAUCUUUGAUUGUAAAACCACGUGCUGCAAUCUCGUCAGUCUCUUCGCAAUUUGUGGUUGGCCGUUUAGGAAGG